AAGGCAGUCUCCUGCGAGGCCUAGUUGUUGAGCCAAGGUACAGAGAACGCACAGUAGCAGAUGGGAAGAACCAGGGCAGAAGGACUCCUGAAGCCUCCGAAGGAAGGAAAUCAUUACAGGGCCCUACAGAAGUAGGUCAUGUGCUACAGCUGCUCAUAGUUUAAGAGGAAGAAAUAGGGGACCUCAAACCUGGAACACAACUCUUUCAAAAUGCUUGUGAGCAGCCCAAGAAAAACAUCCUCCUGAGGCUUAUCUAAUAACCAUGAUCUCUAAUCGUCUCAAUGUGUGCUCGAGUUUCCUUGGGAGUUUGCACCUACUUCCCAGAGCUAACGAGAUACUGAAACAGAACAGAAAAAAUUAAUGAAGGGGAUUUAAUAGUUUGUGUUAAAGCUAAUAUGGUCCAUUAGAAGCUGUCAUUUUUAUAAACAAUGAAGAUCUGUUACCCUCAUCUUUGGCCAUUCCAUGCAGGACUUGUAAACACUCUGUAACGAUCUGGAGAACAUGCAUAAAAGACAAUUAAGGCGCCGCUUGAAAAGUCUGUUUUCCUCACAUAUUUGGUUUCCUGCUAAAUAAACUCAUAAAGAUCA